rnacentral:tRNA from 1 species
GCGCGGGUGGCGGAACUGGUAUACGCGCUAGCUUGAGGAGCUAGUUCCGAGAGGAUUGCGAGUUCGAAUCUCGCCCCGCGCACCA